GCAGUGGUUGCUCAGUGGUAGAACUCCCGCCUUCCCUGUGGGAGACCUGGGUUUGAUUCUCGGCCAAUGUA
rnacentral:tRNA from 1 species